rnacentral:tRNA from 1 species
GCCGGCUUAGCUCAGUUGGUAGAGCGACUGAUUUGUAAUCAGUAGGUCGAAAGUUCGAGUCCUUCAGCCGGCACCA